CACUUGAGCCCAGGAGUCUGAGACCAGCCUGGCCAACAUGGCGAAAUCCUGUCUCUACAAAAAAUACAAAAAUUAGCCAUGUGCACCUGUGGUCCCAGGUGCUUCCUCUGCUCCUUUGGGAAAGCCCCACCUGUCUUGAGGUCCCCCACACUUGUGCUUCCCAGCACCUCGGAGACCCCAGAACCACUGAACAAAGAACAUCGGGGUCCUGGGCUGCCACACGGAGGACCCCAGGGUGGCAGGCUCACAACAGCACAGGCGUCCUCCUACAGCUCCCAGGGCCGGGAGCCUGAAACCAAGGUGUCCACAGGGCCCUGUUGCCCCCAGAGGCUCUGGGCAGAGCCCUUCCGCCUUUCCAGCUCCCCCUGGUUCCCGUGCUCCUCGGCUUGUGGCCCCAUCACUCUGGCCUCUGCCUUCAUCUCAUACCGAGAUCCCUGAAGCCGGCCCGGCUCUGUUCACUG
rnacentral:lncRNA from 1 species